UUGACGGGGCCCGCACAAGCGGUGGAGCAUGUGGUUUAAUUCGACGCAACGCGAAGAACCUUACCAGGGCUUGACAUCCCCUGACCGCGUAUGAAAGUACGUUUUCACCCUCGGGUGACAGGGAGACAGGUGGUGCAUGGUUGUCGUCAGCUCGUGUCGUGAGAUGUUGGGUUAAGUCCCGCAACGAGCGCAACCCCUACGUUUAGUUGCUAACAGGUGAAGCUGAGCACUCUAGACGAACUGCCGUUGACAAAACGGAGGAAGGUGGGGAUGACGUCAAAUCAUCAUGCCCCUUAUGUUCUGGGCUACACACGUGCUACAAUGGCCGGUACAGACGGAGGCGAAGCCGCGAGGCGGAGCAAAUCCGAAAAAGCCGGUCUCAGUUCGGAUUGCAGGCUGCAAUUCGCCUGCAUGAAGUCGGAAUCGCUAGUAAUCGCAGAUCAGCAUACUGCGGUGAAUACGUUCCCGGGCCUU
rnacentral:rRNA from 1 species